UACGUAGGGUGCGAGCGUUAAUCGGAAUUACUGGGCGUAAAGCGUGCGCAGGCGGCUUGCCAAGUCAGAUGUGAAAUCCCCGGGCUCAACCUGGGAACUGCAUUUGUGACUGCAUCGCUGGAGUGCGGCAGAGGGGGAUGGAAUUCCGCGUGUAGCAGUGAAAUGCGUAGAUAUGCGGAGGAACACCGAUGGCGAAGGCAAUCCCCUGGGCCUGCACUGACGCUCAUGCACGAAAGCGUGGGGAGCAAACAGG
rnacentral:rRNA from 1 species